CAGGCCAAGGGUGUGCCUUCCUGGAGUGAAGGACUUUCACAGCCCAGCUCUCUGGUAUGGACCCAAUGUCACUGACUACUGAUUCUGCUCAGCUGAAAUGUUUCGCCUGAAAAUUCUUGAAACCUUCCCAGAAUCUUGAUGUUGCACAAUUAUAGUGGAAACUACUAGAAAGGCUAGAGACUUUGGGUAGAGCCGAAGUGGUCAAGACACCUGAUGCCCAGGAGAAUGGAAGAAGCCUAAACCAAGGACCUGGUCUUUAGAGAUCACGCUCUGUUAUUUUCAGCCAUUGUUUAAUUCCAGUCAUCAUUUAUUGACUGGACCGAGGAGAAACAAGUCCUUCAACCACGAGGAGAGACUCUGAAGCCCAGUUUGCUCAUUCCCACCUGAGGUGGAUGUCCUAAGGAGGCCCGAGGCUAAGCAUGCCGCUGAUCUCUUCUACAAGUUGAUGUCUGUUGGGUAUGUGUGUGAUGACUUGAAAGAGAAGAAACUUAGAGAAGUGCUGUCAAAUUGUGGAAAGGGAGAAGUAGAGGAGCAAAAAGAGAUGUUUGAUGAAGCUCACAAGGACAAGAUGGAAAGUGAAAAUGGAAGGGUUGUAGAUGUUUGGAGACAGAAGAAAAAUAAACACCAAAGGAAAGAGCCCUCACAUACUCUGGAAUCUUGUGCCUUCUUGAAUUGAAUAAAAAUUGUACAAAAUA
rnacentral:lncRNA from 1 species